rnacentral:ncRNA from 2 species
UAUUAAAACGGCGAUGACGUUCGCCCUUACUCAGCAGUGUUAACACACCAAAGAGUUGAUGACGUCUACUUUAAC